GUGGGGAAUCUUGCGCAAUGGGCGAAAGCCUGACGCAGCGACGCCGCGUGAGCGAUGAAGGCCUUCGGGUUGUAAAGCUCUGUGGAGGGAGACGAAUAAGUCGGAACUAACAUUUCCGAUGAUGACGGUACCCCUUUAGCAAGCACCGGCUAACUCUGUGCCAGCAGCCGCGGUAAGACAGAGGGUGCAAACGUUGUUCGGAAUCACUGGGCGUAAAGCGUGUGUAGGCGGCUUUGUAAGUCGGAUGUGAAAGCCCCGGGCUCAACCUGGGAAGUGCACUCGAUACUGCAGAGCUUGAGUACUGGAGAGGUUGGUGGAAUUCUCGGUGUAGAGGUGAAAUUCGUAGAUAUCGGGAAGAACAUCGGUGGCGAAGGCGGCCAACUGGACAGAUACUGACGCUGAGACACGAAAGCGUGGGGAGCAAACAGGAUUAGAUACCCUGGUAGUCC
rnacentral:rRNA from 1 species